GACGAACGCUGGCGGCGUGCUUAACACAUGCAAGUCGAACGAAGAGCGAUGGAAGCUUGCUUCUAUCAAUCUUAGUGGCGAACGGGUGAGUAACGCGUAAUCAACCUGCCCUUCAGAGGGGGACAACAGUUGGAAACGACUGCUAAUACCGCAUACGAUCUAAUCUCGGCAUCGAGGAUAGAUGAAAGGUGGCCUCUACAUGUAAGCUAUCACUGAAGGAGGGGAUUGCGUCUGAUUAGCUAGUUGGAGGGGUAACGGCCCACCAAGGCGAUGAUCAGUAGCCGGUCUGAGAGGAUGAACGGCCACAUUGGGACUGAGACACGGCCCAGACUCCUACGGGAGGCAGCAGUGGGGAAUCUUCCGCAAUGGACGAAAGUCUGACGGAGCAACGCCGCGUGAGUGAUGACGGCCUUCGGGUUGUAAAGCUCUGUUAAUCGGGACGAAAGGCCUUCUUGCGAAUAGUGAGAAGGAUUGACGGUACCGGAAGGAAAUCCAAGG
rnacentral:rRNA from 1 species